UCAUUAUCCGUCCAAAACUAAAACUGCAGCGCUGGUUUCGACAGGGUUGCGGUAUUCAAUUGGACCACAGAAAACCCCAUGAUUAGCUAUUCCUCUUAAGGGCAUUGGCUCAAAGGUGCAACCUUAAUAAAGCCAUAAAUCAACAAACCCCUUUC